AAAAAGACAAACCCUAGGUUUCCGUAUUCAACAUUUGACUGUCCGUCUUAUAUGAAAUUUUUUUAUAAUUAGUAUUUUCAUUGUUGUUAGAUGAUAAAAUAUGAUUAAUAAUUUAUGCGUGACUUGUCUUUUUAAUUUUUUUCAUAUUUUUUUCAAAUAAGACGGACGGUCAAAAGUUAGGCACGGAAAUCCAGGGUUUGUCUUUCU
rfam:Oryza glumipatula chromosome 7, whole genome shotgun sequence.